CUUACGACUAAUACCAUGUCAGAGAAGAAAGGAUAUUUUAAUGCUAGAGGAAUAGAAAGGAAAUAUUAUUUAUUCAACAAAUAUUUAUCAAAGGUCUGUGACAUACAGGUAUUCUGGAUAUUGGUGGGAAAAAAAGAGAAUAAGAACAUCCAGGAGUUCCCGUUGUGGCGCAGUGGUUAACGAAUCCGACUAAGAACCAUGAGGUUGCGGGUUCGGUCCCUGCCCUUGCUCAGUGGGUUAAUGAUCUGGCGUUGCCGUGAGCUGUGGUGUAGGUUGCAGACGCGGCUCGGAUCCCGCGUUGCUGUGGCUCUGGUGUAGGCCAGUGGCUACAGCUCCGAUUCGACCCCUAGCCUGGGAACCUCCAUAUGCCGCGGGAGCGGCCCAAGAAAUAGCAAAAAGACAAAAAAAAAAAAAAGAACAUCCAAGUCCUUGUCUUCUUGGCACUGACAUUCCAAAAUACAAUCUCAGCUCUUUAAGUUAAAUAAAUUAAACUCUAUAAAAUAUUCAUUCAAAUGUUCUUAUUGUUCUCUUUCUUUUUUUUCUUUUUUUGCUAAUAAAGGGCCACACUUGUGACAUAUGUGUGGGGUCUAAUCAGGGCUACAGAUGCUGGCCUAUGCCACAGCGACAUGGGAUCUGAGCCACAUCUGUGACCUACACCACAAAUCAUGGUAACACUGGAUCCUUAACCUGCUAAGCAAGGCCAGAGAUGGAACCCAAGUCCUCAUGGAUACCAGUCGGGUUCAUGGCCCACUGAUCCACAAUAGGAACUCUCUCUUUUCAUCUUAAUUCUUAAAACAAACCCUGUCAUGUGGCAGCACGGGUCCACAAACCUGCAUUUGGGAACCUCGCUUCUAAAGCAUUUGUCUGCUUCCAGAUGCAGGGCCCUGAAGUUAUCUCAGAUGGAAGGAAAUAGAAAUUUCCAUGCUGCCUGGCUUCUCUCAGGACUCAGGCUAAGGCUAAAAAGGAAUUCAUGCUUCCUGAACCCCUAAAAACUGAAAACAAAAUGAAGGCUCCCAGAAAGCCUGGUGGAAUGGAAACAAUAUCCUUGGAAUGAAUGCUUUGCCAUGGAUGAUCUUCAACAUGCAAAACCAAG
rnacentral:lncRNA from 1 species